CUGCAUGAAACAGUAAAUUUCUCUGGCGUUAAGAGACCUUUCUGUAGUGAAGGCUGCAAGCUGUUAUACAAACAAGAUUUUGCAAGACGAUUAGGAUUAAGAUGUGUUACCUGCAACUAUUGUUCUCAAUUGUGUAAGAAGGGAGCCACUAAAGAGCUGGAUGGAGUUGUCCGAGACUUCUGCAGUGAAGACUGCUGUAAGAAGUUCCAGGAGUGGUACUACAAGGCAAGUCAUUUUUAGAUCAGGGCUGUCAGACGUCCCGAACCAAAAUGACAGGCUCAGCACCACCCCCUUCUCCUACACCAAACAAAGAGAUGAAGAACAAAGCGAUUCUUUGCAAACCUUUAACAAUGACAAAAGCAACUUACUAUGAAAAUUGGAAGACAGAGUAUGUCCCAGUGCCUAUUCCUGUGCCUGUGUAUGUCCCUGUGCCUAUGCACAUGUACAGCCAGAGUAUUCCUGUUCCUACCACAGUCCCUGUCCCUGUGCCCGUUCCUGUGUUUUUGCCUGCUCCAUUGGAGAACAGUGAGAAGAUUCCUGCCUCAGU
rnacentral:lncRNA from 1 species